AAAGGGAGACCUAAUUCGGGUAUAAGACGAAAAAAUAGUAGUCGAAACCAAGAAUCAAUCCCAAAAGGUCGGAACGAGGUAUGUGGCUUUCAAACUAGGUUCUGGGUUCAUAAAAGACCUGAAUCAGGAACAAGGGCUAUUAGCUCAGGUGGUUAGAGCGCACCCCUGAUAAGGGUGAGGUUCCUGGUUCGAGUCCAGGAUGGCCCACCUGCACAGGUGGCAAAAACAAAGAAAAGAAGCGAGGAAUCAGCACCUUAUCUUACUUAUAUAGUAAGAGAGAAUGCUGGCUCUGAGUACAGAGUCCAGAGGAACCUUGAAAACUGCAUAGAGCUAGGUGAAAAAGCCAAAAAAGAAGACCGCAAG
rnacentral:tRNA from 1 species